GACGUAGGGCGCGAGCGUUGUCCGGAUUUAUUGGGCGUAAAGAGCUCGUAGGUGGUUUGCCGCGUUGUUCGUGAAAACUCACAGCUUAACUGUGGGCGUGCGGGCGAUACGGGCAGACUGGAGUACUGCAGGGGAGACUGGAAUUCCUGGUGUAGCGGUGGAAUGCGCAGAUAUCAGGAGGAACACCGGUGGCGAAGGCGGGUCUCUGGGCAGUAACUGACGCUGAGGAGCGAAAGCGUGGGGAGCGAACAGG
rnacentral:rRNA from 1 species